rnacentral:lncRNA from 1 species
GUUUACUAAAAGUAUAUUUGAAUAUAAACAGACUGUUAGGAAUGGUUAGGACAGAUAAUAGACUCGUUAAAGGAUGGGUGAUCAUGCCUGAUGCUGCUUAAGAUUAAAUAUGCUAAUCAGAUUUUGGAUUUAGAGAACCCAGAUAAAUCCAAAGUAGAGCAAGAAAAGGUACUCAAAUCUUCAGCUUCUUCCUUUUCGAAAAUACAUACUGCAUUUUAUCCAUGUCUCCUUCAGAACUGAGCAAUUUAUGAAGGCUUUACCCAGACUGGAAAGGAAUGAAGAUGUCACAGGGGUUCUGCUUUAAGGAAUCCGAAGCUCUGGUGUCAGCAGAAUUGAUGAGCUCUGCCCCUGGGGAACACCAACACAACUUCAUUGAAAGAGUUACAGGGAUUUCAUGUUUCGGAGGAAUUAUAUACAGAGGUUUCUGUUUGAAGGUAUAUUCAAAUACUACUUCAAACUGAGGUUUAAGGUUGAAUAUUUCAAAAUUAGGAAGACGUCAUUGAAACCCAGCAACAGUUGGCGAUUCAGCAAUUAUUAAGUCUUCAGAGAAACAUAGCUCUUCUGUAACAUGGUUAUUGAAGUAGUGUGGCUCCACUUCAAUAAGCAAAAAAAGAGACAGCAUUCCUCUUUAGAAAACUCAAAGGCAUUACUUAUUUAAUUAAUAGGUAAGGAAAGUCUUGAGCAGAAAAAAAGUAGUCCCUGAGAUGUAUUCAAUUAGCCUUUUGUGCCUAUUCUUUUGCUAACUUUUACAAGGCAUCUAAUCAUAUAUUUAAGUACAUGUGUGUGCUUUAUUUUUUCUUUCUUUAUCUUAAUGGAACUACACCUUCAUAGUAAACUUUUUAUUAUUUGAAAUACUUACAUGUGUUAAAAUGAAGUUAUCACUUCUUAUUGUGGACUAUAAUUAGUCAAAGAGGAAUAAUGUAAAAUGUCACAUAGGACUGAGUCAAUUUUGAAAAUGGGCUUUUCAAGAUAGAUUCUGAAACUCCCUGUGCUGGUCAAGGUCAGCGUAGGGGAAAACCAUAAUUAUAGAUUUCUCAGACCUAGCAAUUCAAAAAAUAUAGAGAGUAGCUAAGGUUCUAAUUGUAAUUGGAUAGGGUGAUUUCUCUUCAUACAGUGAUACUUAAUUCGUACAUCAUUCUGCAUGUGGGAUUAGCUAAACUUCCAGUCUAAUAGUCAUUCUAAAGCCAGAGAGGAAAUGGAGCAAAGCAAAAUACAGUUCUUCAGGGAUUUCUAGUCUAAUAAUGUCAUUAUGAUAGCACGCAGAGUAUGACUGCAUCUUUAAAAUCUUCUAAAGCAAGGGACGCACACCACUGCUGGAAUGCACAAUGGUUUGGAGUGGUGCAAGGUGAGAUAUUUCCUUUUUAUUAUUUGUUUUUAAUAUGUGUUAGAUAUAACCCAGGAUUUCACCUAUAUUAUUGCCGAACAUGAAGCUAAAGUAAAAAAAAAUGAAUAAAAAAACUAUUAAGCAAAUAACAGCACAGCUAUUUUAUGAAUGUUGUAGAACUCGUGAAGGUAGUAUGCAAAUGACUGAAAUUGGGAACAAUAAAGUUGUGUUCAUUCAUCCA